UACGAAGGGGGCUAGCGUUGCUCGGAAUCACUGGGCGUAAAGGGUGCGUAGGCGGCUUUCUAAGUCAGGGGUGAAAGCCUGAGGCUCAACCUCAGAAUUGCCUUUGAUACUGGAAGUCUUGAGACCGGAAGAGGUAAGUGGAACUGCGAGUGUAGAGGUGAAAUUCGUAGAUAUUCGCAAGAACACCAGUGGCGAAGGCGGCUUACUGGUCCGGUUCUGACGCUGAGGCACGAAAGCGUGGGGAGCAAACAGG
rnacentral:rRNA from 1 species